rnacentral:RNase_P_RNA from 1 species
GAAGUAGUUCAGAUGAUCGCGGGCAGUGGCUCCCAUCUUCAAAUUCCGCAUUUUGCGAAAAUUGAUGACCAAAUGGUGCAGCUAUGCUGCCUGAGGAAAGUCCGGGCACCAGAGGGCAGGCUGCUGGAUAACGUCCAGUGCAGGUGACUGUGAGGACAGUGCCACAGAAUGGAAGACCGCCUAUGUGAUAUGGGUUUAUAAACUCAUUUUUCGCAGGUAAGGGUGCAACGGUGGUGGGAAUUCCCUUAAUGUAAGAGACCACCAGUAACAUCGAGAGGUGUUAGCUAGGUAAACCCCAGCUUUGAUGCAAG